UACGGAGGGUGCAAACGUUGCUCGGAAUUAUUGGGCGUAAAGCGCAUGUAGGCGGCCGAAUAAGUCGGGUGUGAAAGCCCAGGGCUUAACCCUGGAAGUGCACUCGAAACUGCUCGGCUUGAAUAUGGAAGAGGGUCGCGGAAUUCCCAGUGUAGAGGUGAAAUUCGUAGAUAUUGGGAAGAACACCAGUGGCGAAGGCGGCUAUCUGGACCGGUACUGACGCUGAGGUGCGAAAGCGUGGGGAGCAAACAGG
rnacentral:rRNA from 1 species